GACGUAGGGGGCAAGCGUUGUCCGGAAUUAUUGGGCGUAAAGGGCUCGUAGGCGGUCUGUCACGUCGGGAGUGAAAACACGGGGCUUAACCCCGUGCCUGCUUCCGAUACGGGCAGACUAGAGGUAUGCAGGGGAGAACGGAAUUCCUGGUGUAGCGGUGAAAUGCGCAGAUAUCAGGAGGAACACCGGUGGCGAAGGCGGUUCUCUGGGCAUUACCUGACGCUGAGGAGCGAAAGUGUGGGGAGCGAACAGG
rnacentral:rRNA from 1 species